GGAGUUAGCCGGUGCUUCUUCUGUGAGUGAUGUCCUUCCUGCCGGCUAUUAACCCGCAGGCCUUCUUCCUCACUGAAAGUGCUUUACAACCCGAAGGCCUUCUUCACACACGCGGCAUGGCUGGAUCAGGGUUGCCCCCAUUGUCCAAUAUUCCCCACUGCUGCCUCCCGUAGGAGUCUGGGCCGUGUCUCAGUCCCAGUGUGGCUGAUCAUCCUCUCAGACCAGCUACGGAUCGUCGCCUUGGUGAGCCGUUACCUCACCAACCAGCUAAUCCGACAUAGGCUCAUCCGAUAGCGCGAGGCCCGAAGGUCCCCCGNUUUCCCCCGUAGGGCGUAUGCGGUAUUAGCCUGGGUUUCCCCAGGUUAUCCCCCACUACCGGGCAGAUUCCUAUGCAUUACUCACCCGUCCGCCGCUCGCCACCAGGGAGCAAGCUCCCCGUGCUGCCGCUCGACUUGCAUGUGUUAGGCCUGCCGCCAGCGUUCAAUCUGAGCCAGAAUCGAACCCUGA
rnacentral:rRNA from 1 species